GUCUACAGCCGUUCUGCCCUGAACAAGCCCGAUCCCGUCUGAUCUCGGAAGCUAAGCAGGGUCGGACCUGGUUAGUACUUGGGUGGGACACCACCUAGGAAGACCAGGUGCUGUAGGCG
rnacentral:rRNA from 1 species